GAUGAACGCUGGCGGCGUGCCUAAUACAUGCAAGUCGAGCGAACAGACCAUGAGCUUGUUCCUCUGACGUUAGCGGCGGACGUGUGAGUAACACGUGUAUAACCUACCUAUAAUACUGGGAUAACUUCGGGAAACCGGAUCUAAUACCGGAUAAUCUAUUGAACCGCAGUGUGCAUUAGUAAAAUACGGUUUUUCUGUCUCUAAUAGAUGGUUCCGCGCCGCAUUAGCUAGUUGGUAAGGUAACGGCUUACCAAGGCAACGAUGCGUAGCCGACCUGAGAGGGGGAUCGGCCGCACUGGAGCGGAGACACGGUCCAGACUACUACGAGAGGCAGCAGUAGGGAAUCUGACGCAAUGGGCGAAAGCAUGACGGAGCAACGCCGCGUGAGAGAUGAAGGUCUUCGGAUCGGAAAACUCUGUUAUUAGGGAAGAACAAAUGUGUACGUAACUAUGCACGUCUUGACGGUAACUAAUCAGAAAGCCACGGCUAACUACGUG
rnacentral:rRNA from 1 species